UUCGCCCUGCUCAGGCAUAGUUCACCAUCUUUUGGGUCCCGACAGGUAUGCUCACACUCGAACCCUUCACAAAAGAUCAAGGUCGGUCGGCGGUGCAUCCCUCAGAGGGAUCCCAUAAUUCAGCUUCCUUACACCUUACGGGUUUACUAGCCCAUUGACUCGCACACAUGUCGGACCCCUUGGUCCGUGUUUCCAGAUAGGUCAAAUGGGUAGCCCACAGGCCAGCGUCGGGAGCGCGCAGAUGCCGAAGCACUCCAGAGGCGCGCGCUGCCUACCAUGAUCAAGGAGAGGACGUUCCAUGAGUGUAUCAAAAGCCCGUGCUUUGGCCGCCCCCAAUCCAUGCUGGUCCACGGCCUGAGCUGAUCGGCGGACCGGCUCAACACUGUUGCACAUCCAACAGGGGAACAUCGCCGGCCCCCAUCUGCUUCCCUCCCAAAAAUUUCAAGCACUCUUUGACUCUCAUUUGAAAGUCCUUUUCGUUCAUAUUUCCCUCGCGGUACUUGUUCGCUAUCUGUCUCUCGCCCGUAUUUAGCCUUGGACGGAAUUCACCGCCUGAUUUGGGCUGCAUUCCAAAACAACCUGACUCGUAGACAGCGCCUCGUGUUGCAAUUGGGUCUGGGCACAACGGGGCUCUCACCCUCUCUAGCGCCCCCUUCCAGGGGACUUGGGCCCGAUCCGUUGCUGAGGACGCUUCUCCAAACUACAAUUCGGACGACGAAGCCGCCCGAUUCUAAGGCUGGGCUGUUCCCGGUUCGCUCGCCAUUACUAGGGGAAUCAUUGUAAGUGUCGUUUUCUCCGCUUAUUGAUAUGCUUAAGCUCAGCAGUGCUCCUUCCUGAACUAGGGUCGUGGUCGGAGCGCCUAAGCGCGAUAAGGGUCAGGGAGCACAAACAUGCGACGGGUUGGAGCCGCGACAUUACGAGAGUUGAAUUUCAACCACCACUUGUCGUGAUGUCCAUCGCUGUGGACUCGCACUUAGGCCAACCGCACGCUCGAGGAGCACAGGAGGCCAGUAUCUUUCUCACGACAGCACCACGACCAUGAGAAUGGGCACGGUGUGCGGGGGCAACGCGGUGCUUGACGCCCAAGCAGACGUGCCCUCGGCCUAAUGGUUUCGGAUGCAACAUACGUUCAAAGACUCGAUGGUUCACAGGAUUCUGCAAUUCACACCAAGUAUCGCAUUUUGCUACGUUCUUCAUCGAUGCGAGAAUUGAGAUAUCCAUUGCCGAGAGUCAUUUGUCUUUCAAAGGAAGCACAAGGCCCCCGCGCACGCCGCGAACGGGGCGCGAGGGCAGGCUUUCUGUUUAGUAUUCCAUGGCGCUUUCCACGCCGGGGUUUGUUAAUCACCCAGCAUGCACGCGAGUGCGCGCGCCAGGGAUAUAGGAGGUAGCCGCACGGACGGAGGCCGAAGCAUCCCGGCCGUACCGCUCCCUAGUUUUUAAACAAGUUCGCGGGUCGUUUUUCAGGUUUCGACAAUGAUCCUUCCGCAGGUUCACCUACGGAAACCUUGUUACGACUUCUCCUUCCUCUAAAUGAAAAGGUUCAAUGGACUUCUCACGACGUCGCGGGCAGUGGACCACUUACGACGCCACGAUACGAGCAUUUCACCAGAUCAUUCAAUUGGUAGGAGCGACGGGCGGUGUGUAGAAAGGGCAGGGACGUAGUCAACGCCAGCCAAUGACUCGCGCUUACAAGGAAUUUCUCGUUGAAGACCAUCAAUUGCAAUGAUCUAUCCCCAUCACGAUGAAAUUUCAAAGAUUACCCGGGCCUGUCGGCCAAGGCUAUAAACUCGUUGAAUACAUCAGUGUAGCGUGCGUGCAGCCCAGAACAUCUAAGGGCAUCAUAGACCUAUUAUUGCCUCAAACUUGCGCGGCCUAAAAGGCCGUAGUCCCUCUAAGAAGCUGGCCGCGAAGGGAUACUUCUGCAUAGCUAGUUAGUAGGCUGAGGUCUCGUUCGUUAACUAAAUUAACCAGACAAAUCGCUCCACCAACUAAGAACGUCCAUGCACCACCACCCAUAGAAUCAAGAAAGAGCUCUCUGUCUGUCAAUCCUUACUAUGUCUGGACCUGGUAAGUUUCCCCGUGUUGAGUCAAAUUAAGCCGCAAGCUCCACUCCUGGUGGUGCCCUUCCAUCAAUUCCUAUAAGUUUCAGCCUUGCGACCAUACUCUCCCGGAACCCAAAAACUUUGAUUUCUCAUAAGGUGCCGGUUAGCCUUGCUACCAUACUCCCCCCGGAACCCAAAAACUUUGAUUUUUCAUAAGUAUCUGGUAGAGUCCUUAAAGCAACAUCCGCCGAUCCUUGGUCGGCAUCGUUUAUGGUUGAGACUAAGAAGGUAUCUGAUCGUGUUCGAGCCCCCUACUUUUGUUCUUGAUUAAUGAAAACAUCCUUGGCAAAUGCUUUUGCAGUUGUUCGUCCUUCAUCAAUCCAAGAAUUUCACCUCUGACUAUGAAAUAUGAAUUCCCCCGACUGUCCCCAUUAAUCAUUACUCUGAUUCCGAAGGCAACCGUAAUAGGACCGAAAUCCUUUAAUGUUAUCCCAUGCUAAUGUAUUGAGAGCAUACGCUUGCUUUGAGCACUCUAAUUUCUUCAAAGUAAUAGCACCGGAGGUACGACCCGGCCAAUUAAGGCCAGGAGUGUAUCGCUGGCAGAAGGGAUGAGAUGACUGGUGCACACCAAAGGCGGACCGGCCGGCCCACCCCAAAGUCCAACUACGAGCUUUUUAAUUGCAGCAACUUAAAUAUACGCUAUUGGAGCUAGAAUUGCUGCUGGCACUAGACUUUCCCUUCAAUGGAUCAUCAUUAAGGGAUUUAGAUUGUACUCAUUCCAAUUACUAGACUCAUAAAGCCCGGUAUUGUUGUUUAUUGUCACUACCUCCCCGUGUCAGGAUUGGGUAAUUUGCACGCCUGCUGCCUUCCUUGGAUGUGGUAGCCGUUUCUCAAGAUCCCUCUCCGGAAUUGAACCCUAAUUCUCCGUCACCCAUCACCACCAUGGUAGGUGUCACGGGGGCCUUUUUGACCUAGUCCAAAACCACACCCGCGCGGCAGUCAAGUCCCCUGCUUGGCUCAGCCUUCCGAAAUACUUGCCAAUUUUACGUCGGAAUCGAACCCUAAUUCUCCAUCACCCGUCACCACCAUGGUAGGUGUCAUGCCGGCAUUUUUAAUGUAGUCCCAAACCACAACCGCGCGGCAGUCAAGUCCCAUGCUUGACUCAGCCUUCCAAAACAGUUGCCAAUUUUCAGCAAGUUUGACCUUAGAAAAAAUUUAGGCAACAAAACAGAAAUAUAAAGAACACAAACAUGUACAGGACAAAUUCCCAACCUUUGCAUUAAUAUAGAAAAUAUACAAAGGACCCUCACUUUCUAUGGACUAUCCAUCCGCUUACAGCCCACUUUUGACAAAGAACACCUGGUCGUACUUGGCCAACACAAAGAUCUGCCCAUGCACAACCUUAGCCCCCUUUUGGAAACACUAGAAAUCCUCACAUUUCUCUCUUGUUUCCCAUGAGUAAUUCCCCUGAACUUACUCCUCACUUCUGCCUAAGUUAAAGGUCCUAUUUAUGGGAGAUCAUGGCCUACAAACAAGGUAACCGCUGCCAACCGCUUUCCAUGUGCAUUGCAUGUGCCAUUUCCUUGGCCAGCUGAAUUUCGCCCCCAAGGCUUCCCGUGCCAUGCCUUAGGUAAAUUAGACAUUGCCCAUGCCAAUAUAUUGCCCGCAAUCUGCUGCCAUGAUAUUUCCGCACACGCCUGGCGCCGCUGCCGCCUGCACACUGCCUUGGCCUAGUUUUCAGCCAUUGCUUGUAUUUUCUUUCCCAUAGCAUAGUCUUAGUUAUUGAAAUCCUUUGCCAUCAACCCGCAUUUCUUCCUCGCCUUAGAUUAGCCCGCACAUAGCUGCCACAACCCUAGAGUGUCAUGCCAUUGAGUUUAGCGCGCAUGCCGUGUCAUGCCACCAAAACAUUGCCGAUGCUGCCUCUUAAAGCCUUCCCAAGCGCACCUUGCCCAUGCCAAGGCCAUGGCCAAUACUUGUACACCAUAGCUCGUUGACCCGCUUGAUCGUUUUACUCGCACAUAGGACAAUGAUAAGGCCAUUACGCCAAUAUCCUUGCCAUAGCCGUGACACGCCCGAUGAAUAAAGUUAAGGUCCUAACAAACCACCUACAUCUUUUGAAAUUGACGUCCUCGUCGAGCCGUCUCAAUUUAACAACCCCAAGGGGUUGUUGACAAACACCGCGCCGGGUGCUCCCCUCGCAUCUGCCACUAUGGCAUUUGACUCUGCCACUUGUUCCUCUCCCUUCGCAGCUAGCAUUGCAUUUACCUUAGCCUACACCAGACAGUCCCUCUUCAAGUGCGGUCCACCACAAGUGAAAUAGCCUUUGUAUACGUUGUUCCAUUCCUUGCCACUGUGAUUUUCCGGUCUCGCAAUCUUGACAAGCUCCUCAUUUUCAGAUGCUUGGCCCUUCCCGUUUCUCUUCCAUUCCCUUGCUUUAUCCUUCCUUCCAUCGGACUUUGAAUGCGAAGUUUCAAUUGGUUCCUAACCUAUAUUCAGGUCCGCCAACGCAUCUGGCGCUGGAAUGGCUGUAGAGAGGCUUUGCACAUUUUGCCUUCUCAACUCCAACUACGCCCAUCCCUUCAACACGCUCAUGAAGUAAUGCAGCUUGUCUUCUUCUGCCAUCUUACUUACAUUGAGCAUCAAUGAUGAAAAUUCCUUGACAUACUCCCUCACCGUGCCACUUUGUUGCAAGUGAUGCAGUCCAUCUCGUGCCAUCCACGACGAGUUUGUUUGAAGGAAUUGGGACUUUAAUUCCUUCUUCAUCAACUCCCAAGAUCCGACCUUGGGCAGUCCAGCAUCUUCUCCAUCUGCACUUCGUGUAUGCCACCACACCUUUGCAUCGUCAGUCAAGUACAUUGGUGUGAUCACCACCUUUUCAUCAUCGGGCAAACAUGCAGCCUGGAAAUACUGCUCCAUAUCCCACAAGAAAUUUUCCAGUUCCUUGGCACUUCUUGCACCACCAUAUGCCUUAGGCUCCGGGAUCCUCAACGUAGUGCGCUCAUCAUAUCUAGGGGCAGAAUUUAGUAUUGCCCUUCGAAGAUCAGCCACUUCAUUGCGUAAUUCAUCUUUCUCUUGGCGUACCAAGGCCAUUUCUGCAGGCGUUGUUUCAUGUCUCGCUGCAUAAUCUACCUCCAAACGUGCCAUUCUAGAAAGAACAGAAGAAUCACCAUCACUUUCAAGAGCCUGCCCAACUAGUGCUUCCAACUGCUCAACUCUUUGGUGCCCAAGUUCAGAUAGUAGUUUUGCCAAGUCUAAAGCCCUAGUGCAGCCGCAGUCCAUUUUGUGCAGUCCUCACUAAAUCCGCAGGGGUAUUUUUGUCCAGAAUUAUUAGCUUAGUAUAAAUAGCUUCUUUUCCAUUUUUAGGUCAAGAAGAUAGUUUUUAGUUGUUGCUGCUCAGGGUCAAUUUUAGCCAAUUCCAAAACCACUCCCGCACAGCAGUCAAGUCCUUUGCUUGACUCAGCCUUGCGAAACACUUGCAGUUUUCAGCUAGUUUGACCAUAGACGAAAUUUAGACAACAAAACAGAAUUUAUAGGAACACAAAAUAUAUUAAAAAGGACAAAUUCCCAACUUUUGUAUUAAUAUAGAAAAUAUACAAAGGACCCUCACUGACUAUGGACUAUCCGUCCGCUCACAGCCCACUUUUGACUAAGAACACCUGGUCGUUCUUUGCCAAACACUAAGAUCUGCUCAUGCACAACCUUAGCCCCGUUUUGGAACACUAGAAAACCCUCACAUUUCUCUCUUUCUUCCCAAGAGAAAUUCCCGUGAACUUACUCUUUUCCCACAAGUAAUUCCCUUGAUUAGAAAACGCUCACGUUUCUCUCGUGCUUCCCAAGAGUAAUUCCCUUGAACUUACUCUUUUCCCACAAGUAAUUCCCUUGAACUUACUUCGUAUUUCUGCCUAAGUUAAAGGUCCUAUUUAUAGGCCUUUAAAAUUAACCGCUCAUGACACUUGUUGUCUAACAUCUUUACAUCAUGCUCCUAACUUGUAGUUGACAUCCCAAACUACUUAGGAUCAUUAUGCACGAAAUGGGGCCACAGUACAAACAAUAAUCAGUUCAUGGGAUAAUGGGAGAUCAUGGGAGAUCAUGGCCUACAAACAAGGUAAUCGCCGCCAACUGCUUUCCAUGUUCUUUUCAUGUGCCAUAUCCUUCCCCAGCUGAGUUUCGCCCCCAAGGCUGCCCGUGCCAUGCUUUAGGUUAAUUAGACAUUGCCCAUUCCAAUGUCUGCGCGCAGUCCGCUGCCAUAAUAUUUCCGCACAUGCCCGCCGCCCAUACACCUGCACACUACCUUGGCCUCGUUUUCUUCCUUGUCCGUGCCAACCUCAUUUCCCUCAUGCCAACCUCAUUUCCCUCGUGCCAUUGCUUGUAUUUCCUUUCCAAUAGCCUAGUCUUAGCUAUUGAAAGCCUUUGCCGUCAACCCGUAUUUCCGCCUCGCCUUAGCUUAGCCCGUACCUAGUUGCUACAACCCAAGAGUGUCAUGCCCAUUGAUUCUGAUGCGCUUGCCGUACCAUGCAGCCCCAACUUUGCCGAUGCUGCCUAUCCAAGCCUUUCCCAAGCGAACCUUGCCCAUGCCAAGGCCUUGGCCAAUACUUGUUCACCAGUCCGUCGACCCGCAUGAUCGUGUUGCUCGCACAUAGGCCAAUGACAAGGCCAUCACGCCCCAAUCCUUGCCACAUCCGUGCCACGUCCGAUGACAAAAGAUAGGGUCCUAACAGUAGGUGUCACGGGGUCAAUUUAAGCCAAUUCCAAUACCACGCCGGCGUGGCAGUCAAGUCCCGUGCUUGACUCAGCCUUCCAAAACACUUGCAACUUUCAGCAAGUUUGACCUUAGACGAAAUUUAGGCGACAAAACAGAAGUUAAAGGAACACAAAAUAUACAGGAAAAAUUCCCAACCUUUGCAUUAAUAUAUAAAAUAUACAAAGACCAUCACUGACUAUGAACUAUCUGUCCGCUUAUAGCCCACUUUUGACUAAGAACACCUAGUCGUUCUUUGACAAACACUAAGAUCUGCCCAUGCACAACCUUAGCCCCUUUUUGGAACACUAGAAAACCAUCACGUUUCUCUCGUGUUUCCCAAGAGCAAUUUUUGUGAACUUACUCUUUUCCCACAAGUAAUUCCCUUGAACUUACUUGAUAUUUCUGCCUAAGUUAAAGGUCCAAUUUAUAGGCCUUUUAGCUUAACCGCCCAUGACACUUGUUGUAUAGCAGCUAUACAUCAUGCUCCUAACUUGUAGUUGACAUCCCCAACUACUUAGGAUUAUAAUACAUGAAAUGGGGCCACUAUACAAACAAUAAUUAGUUCAUUGUUGUAUAGCAACUUUACAUCAUGCUCCUAACUUGUAGUUGACAUCCCCAACUACUUAGGAUUAUUAUACACGAAAUGGGGCCACUAUACAAACAAUAAUUAGUUCAUGGGAUAAUGGGAAAUCAUGGGAGAUCACGGCCUACAAACAAUGUAACCACCGCCAACCGCUUUCCAUGUGCUUUUCAUGUGGCAUAUCCUUGACCAGCUGAGUUUUCCCCCAAGGAUGCCCGUGCAAUGCAUUAGGUUAAUUAGACAUUGCCCAUGCCAAUGUCUGCCCGCAAUCCGCUGCCAUAAUAUUUCCGUACAUGCCCGGCGCCCAUACACCCGCACACUGCCUUAGCCUAGUUUUCUGCCUUGUCCGUGCCAACCUCAUUUCCCUCAUGCCAACCUCAUUUCCCUCGUGCCAUAGUUUGUAUUUCCUUUCCAAUUGCCUAGUCUUAGAUAUUGAAAGCCUUUGCCGUCAACCCGCAUUUCCGCCUCGCCUUAGCUUAGCCCGUACUUAGCUGCCACAACCCAAUGGUGUCAUGCCCACUGAUCUUGGCGCGCAUACCGUACCAUGCCGCCCCACUUUGCCGAUGCUGUAGCUAUUGAAAGCCUUUUUGCCGUAAACCCGCAUUUCUACCUCGCCUUAGCUUAGCCCGCACAUAGCUGCCACAACCAAAGAGUGUCAGGCCCAUUGAUUUUGGUGCGCAUGUCGUACCAUACCGCCCCACAUUGCCGAUGCUGCCUCUCCAAGCCUUUUCGAAGCACACCAUGCCCAUGCAAAGGCCUUGGCCAAUACUUGUUCACCACAGCCCGUCGACCCGCAUGAUCGUUUUGCUCGCACAUAGGCCAAUGAGAAGGCCAUCACGCCCAAAUCAUUGCCACAGCCGUGCCACGUCCGAUGACAAAAGUCAGGGUCCAAACAAACCACCCACACCUUUUGAAAUCGACGUCCUCGUCGAGCCGUCCUAAUCUAACAAACCCAAGGGGUUGUUGACAAACACUGCCCCGGGGUCUCCCCUCGCAUCUAUCACUAUGGAAUUUGCCUCCGCCACUUGUUCAUGUCCCUCCGCAGCUAGUAUCGCAUUUACCUUAGCCUACAUCGGACACUCCCUCUUCAAGUGCGGUCCACCACAAAUGAAACAGCCUUUGAACAUGCUGUUCCUUUCCUUGGCCUUUGAUCAGCCUCUUCCUCGCGUAAUUCUUAUUUCUCUUGGCGUACCACGGCCAUUUCUCCCAGUGUUAUCUCAUGUCUCACUGCAUAAUCUGCCUCCAAACGUGCCAUUUUAGAAAGAACAGAAGAAUCAUAAUUUUCAAAAGCCUGCCCAAGUAGUGCUUCCAACUGCUCAACUCUUUGACGCAGCUCCCCAUUUGUGCCACCAACCAUGUUCUAAAAAAUUCCAACGUAAUCUGCCACUGAUCGUUUCUCCACUGCCAUGAACAUGCUCAGCUCUGAUACCAAUUGUCACAGGGUCAAUUUUAGCCAAUUCCAAAACCACGCCCGCGCGACAGUCAAUCCCGUGCUUGACUCAGCCGUCCGAAACACUUGCAAUUUUCAGUAAGUUUGACCUUAGAUGAAAUUUAUGCAACAAAACAGAAUUUAAAGGAACACAAAAUAUACAGGACAAAUUCCAAACCUUUGAAUUAAUAUAGAAAAUAUACAAAGGACCCUCACUGACGAUGAACUAUCCGUCCGCUCACAUCCCACUUUUGACUAAGAAAACCUGGUCGUUCUUUGCCAAACACUAAAAUCUGGCCAUGCACAACCUUAGCCCCUUUUUGGAACACUAGAAAACCCUCACGUUUCUCUCGUGUUUCCCAAGAGCAAUUCCCGUGAACUUACUCUUUUCUCACAAGUAGGUCGGGGAGUCGGGGGAAGGGCAGUAUUAUGGCCACUAUUUUCACUGGUUUUACCUUUUCCUUUACAGAAUAUGAACUUACUCUUUUCCAACAAGUAAUUCCCUUGAACUUACUUGUUAUUUCUACCUAAGUUAAAGGUACUAUAUAUAGGCCAUUAAGCUUAACCGCCCAUGGCACUUGUUGUCUAACAGCUUUACAUCAUGCUCCUAACUUGUAGUUGACAUCCCCAACUAAUUAGGAUCAUAAUACACGAAAUGGGGCCACUAUACAAACAAUAAUCAGUUCAUGGGAUAGUGGGAGAUCAUGGCCUACAAACAAGGUAACCACCGCCAACCGCUUUCCAUGUGCUUUUCAUAUGCCAUAUCCUUGGCCAGCUGAGUUUCGCCCCCAAGGCUGCCCGCGCCAUGCAUUAGGUUAAUUAGACAUUGCCCAUGCCAAUGUCUGCCCUCAAUCCACUGCCAUAAUAUUACCGCACAUGCUCGGUGCCCAUACACCCGCACACUGCCUUGGCCUAGUUUUCUGCCUUGUCCGUGCAAACCUCAUUUCCUACAUGCCAACCUCAUUUCCCUUGUGCCAUUGCUUUUUUUUUUUCCUUUCCAAUAGCCUAGUCUUAGCUAUUGAAAGCCUUUGCCGUCAACCCGCAUUUCCGCCUCGCCUUAGCUUAGCCCGCACAUAGCUGCCAAAACCCAAGAGUGUCAUGCCCACUGAUUUUGGUGCGCAUGCCGUACAAUGCCGCCCCAACAUUGCCGAUUCUGCCUCUCCAAGCCUUUUCCAAGCGCACCUUGCCCAUGCCAAGGCCUUGGCCAAUACUUGUUCAUGCCGCCCCACUUUGCCGAUGCUGCCUCUCCAAGCCUGUCCCAAGCGCACCUUGCCCAUGCCAUGGCCUUGGCCAUUACUUGUUCAUCACAGCCUGUCGACCCGCAUGAUCGAUUUGCUCGCACAUAGGCCAAUGACAAGGCCAUCACGCCCAAAUCCUUGCCACAACCAUGCCACGUCCGAUGACAAAAGUCAGAGCCCUAACAGUAGGCCACUAUCCGAUCAUCGAAAGUUGUUGGGCAGAAAUUUGAAUGAUGCGUCGCCAGCACGAUGGCCGUGCGAUCCAUCAAGUUAUGAUGAAUUAUCGUAGCAACGGGAAAAGCCCGCAUCAACCAUUUAUCUUAUAAAUGCAUCCCUUAUAGAAGUCGGGGUUUGUUGCACGUAUUGGCUCUAGAAUACUACGGUUAUCCGAGUAGUAGAUACCAUCAAACAAACUAUAACUGAUUGAUGAGCCAUUCGCAGUUUCACAGUCUGAAUUUGUUCAUACUUACACAUGCAUGGCUUAAUCUUUGUGACAAUCAUAUGACUACUGGCAGGAUCAACCAGGUAGCAUUCCUCAUUAACGCCGACGUCGCAUGAGCGUGGCCGACCCAAAAGGGCAAGGCCAAGUCAAAGGCGAGCAUGACUGUCAUUCGUAAAUAACAUUCUUUAGGCAGAUAGAAGCCAAUGAAGGCCACGUGCCCAUUCCGUUUACCAAAUACGAGAGCCCGAGCAUGCUAAGUCGUGGACCAAGCCAUCGCAAGGCGAAGCGAGGACGACCUGGGACACAACUGUAGCUUUUGGUUCACCCUGCACGUCGAACGCGAGGGGCGAAAGGCGACCGAUUGUGCUUCAUAAUGCCUUCGCAUUAGGUAUGCAACGCAGAAAACCAACGUCGAAGAAGCCUAAUAUGCGCAUAUGACAUGACUGAGAUGGCAUGCGAGCUAGGACGCCGCUGCUGGAGCAGGGAUCCAACCUAGCCCACACAUGCCGAACACCACUCAUUUGCCGCACGUACGUGCCUCGCCGAUACAAAGCCGACACCCGUCCCAACACGUGACGCGCAGCCAUGUGUUGUUGUCGAUUCCAACAUUGCAAAGCCAAGACAAGCCCCGCAAAGCACGAUUUGGGGGUUUGAAAAAUGUCAGACACAACCCAGAACAACCGAUGGCAAUAGGCAAUUUAAUGAGCUUAGCCCCAUGCGCAUGGCAGCUUGCGACGCUUCUUGCAUGAUGCUUUGUCGUUUCAUUGGGAAAGGCCAUCAGCCGCCACGAGCGAUGUCGCCGUCCGAUGUUUCCCGCAACAAUCGAUGGCAAUCAGCAACAUACUAAGCUUCGCCCUGUGCACACGGCACCUUGCGGCGCUACUUGCACGAUGCUUUGAAAUUUUGUUGCCAAAAGCCAUCAGCUGCCACAAGCGAUGUCGCCUUCCGAUGUUUUCCACAACAACCUAUGGCAAUCGGAAACUUACUAAGCUUCGCCCCGUGCGCACGACACCUUGCAGUGCUACUUGCAUGAUUCUUUGCCAUUUUGUUGCCAAAAGCCAUCAGCCGCCAAGAGCGAUGUCGCCUCUCGAUGUUUCCCGCAACAACUGACGGAAAUCAGCAACUUACUAAGCUUCACCCUGUGUGCACACCACCGCACGACGCUACUUGCACGAUGCUUUGCCAUUUUGUUUCCAAAAGCCAUCAGUUGCCAAGAGCGGUGUCGCUUCCCGAUGUUUCCCGCAACAAUCGAAGGUAAUGAACAUCUACUGAGCUUCGCCCCGUGCGCACGGCACCAUACGGCGCUACUUGAAUGACGCUCCAUCGUUCAUUCCCAAAAACCAAUGUUAUCCAUGAGCGGUGCCACCACCAGGCGUAUUACAAGCCCACACGAGUACUUGCCGAAGCGGUUUGGGAACAUCGAGGACGUAGCAUUGACAAGUCGUGCAUGUCCCCAAUGCCCACGCCCCAUGCCAGGGUCCCCCAUGAAUGCCAGUCCCUUCCUGGCAGCAAGCACCUGAGGUGCCUCUCAACACCUCUACCCCCCUUAUAUAUGCUUUAAAAAAAACCCAAGUUUCAAGAGUAGACAUGUUUUGGCAAGAGAAUCAUAAUAGACAUAUAUAACACCAAAUAGCACAAACCAAAGUAAAACUUGGUUAAUAUAUUCACAAAUGAUAUUUAAACAUUGUAAAUGAUAUUUUUUUUUAAAAAUAAUAUUUUUUUGAAAUAGUUUUAUUUAAAAACGAAAAAUACUCAAUAAAAUACUAAAAAAAUGUGAAAAUUAUAAUAAAAAUAGAAAAAAUGAUGGAGAAAAAUUCCAAUGCAUCUUGUAAUAGUAUAACAUAUAAAAGAGUAAAUAUGUUUAUUAAAAGGUGACAUAAAAAUAAUUUAAAAUAACAACAAAUUCAUAAAAAUUACUAAAAAAUAUAUUAAAAAUAGGAAAAAUACAUAAUAUUAAUAUAAAAGCGUAUAGAUGACCAACCGCCAAUAAGCACGAGGCACCUCCAUUGUCGCAACCACAAAAAGUGUUUCCGAUUUGAAAAACCCACCGCCAACCACAAAGCGUCGACCAACCGUCGCUGGUGGAUAAUUGUGAACCACCGUGACUUUCUACAACCACCACCAAUGGCCACAAACAUCAUUGCGCUUAACAUGUUGCCUAGCCACAACAAGUGAUACGGAUUUGAAGAAACCGCCGCCAACAACCAAUCAUCGACCGACCGUCGCCGGACGCUACCGCUCGAACCACCAUGACUUUCCACCACCGCCGCCAACGAUCACCAGCAUCGUUGCGCUUGACAUGUUUCAAAGCAUUGGUUAGCAAUAGACGUGGUGCGACUCCGUGUGUCUUGGAGCGACGUGGUGCGGUUUGGUGCGACGUCGUGCCAUGGCCAUUUCCUGACGCGUCCUGACACGUCCCAUGGCCUUAUCUUGCCAUGUCCUGCGACGACCAGACUCGUGCCACAGCCACGCCCUGCAACACCUCGAACGGGGCGUGAGGGACCGGCUUUCAAUUUAGUAUUCCUUGGCGUUUUCCGCGUCGGGGUUCGUUAAUCACCCCGCACGCAUACAAGCGCGUGUGUCAGGGAUAUAGGAGGAAGCCGCACGAACGGAGGCCGAAGCAUUCCGGCCGCACCGCACCCUAGUUUUUAAACAAGUUCGCGGGUCGUUCUGCCUUGAAGGUUUCGAGAAUGAUCCUUCCGCAAGUUCACCUAUGGAAACCUUAUUACAACGUCUGCUUUCUCUAAAUGAUAGGGUUAAUUGAACUUCUCGCGACGUUGAGGGCAGCGGACCACCCACGUUUCCGCGAUUCGAACAUUUCACCGGAUCAUUCAACCGGUAGGAGCGACGGGCGGUGCAUACAAAGGGAAGGGACGUAGUCAACGCGAGCUGAUGACUCGUGCUUACUAGGAAUUCCUCGUUGAAGACCAACAAUUGCAAUGAUCUAUCCCCAUCCCGAUGGAAUUUCAAAGAUUACCCGGGCCUGUCGGCCAAGGCUAUAAACUCGUUGAAUACAUCAGUGAAGCGCGCGUGCGGCCCGGAACAUCUAAGGGCAUCAGAGACCUGUUAUUGCCUCAAACUUCUGCGGCCUAAAAUGCCGUAGUCCCUCUAAGAAGCUGGCCGCGAAGGGAUACCUCCGCAUAGCUAGUUAGGAGGCUGAGGUCUCAUUCAUUAACAGAAUUAACCAGACAAAUCGUUCCAGCAACUAAGAACGGCCAUGCACCACAACACUUAGAAUCAAGAAAGAGCUCUCAGUCUGUAAAUCCUUACUAUGUCUGGACCUGGUAAGUUUCCCCGUGUUGAGUCAAAUUAAGCCGCAGGCUCCACUCCUGGUGGUGCCCUUCCGUCAAUUCCUUUNNNNNNNNNNNNNNNNNNNNNNNNNNNNNNNNNNCGGCAAUCAUCCCCAAGUUUCCCCGUGUUGAGUCAAAUUAAGCCGCAUGCUCCACUACAGGUGGUGCCAUUCCGUCAAUUCCUUUAAGUUUCAGCCUUGAGACCAUACUCCCCCAAGAACCAAAAAACUUUGAUUUUGCAUAAGGUGCCGGGGGAGUCCUAUUAGCAACAUCCGCAAAUCUCUGGUCGGCAUCGUUUAUGGUUGAGACUAGGACGAUAUCUGAUCGUCUUCGAGCCCCCAACGUUCAUUCUAGAUUAAUGAAAACAUCCUUGGCAAAUGCUUUUGCAGUUGUUCGUCCUUCAUAAAUCCAAGAAUUUCACCUCUGAUUAUGAAAUACGAAUGCCCCGACUAUCCCUGUUAAUCAUUAUUCCGAUCCCGAAGGCCAACGUAAUAGGACCGAAAUACUAUAAUGUUAUCUCAUGCUAAUGUAUACAGAGCGUAGGCUUGCUUUGAGCAUUCUAAUUUAUUCAAAGUAACACCGUCGGAGGCACAACCUGCACUAUUAAGGCCAGGAGCGCAUCGCCGGCAGAAGGAACGACAUGACCGGUGCACACCAAAGGCGGACCGGCCGGCCCAUCCCAAAUUCCAACUACGAGCUUUUUAACUGCAACACCAUAAAUAUACGCUAUUGGAGCUGUUAUUACCAGUGCUGCUGGCACCAUACUUGCCCUCCAAUUGAUCCUCGUUAAGGGAUUUAGAUUGCACUCAUUCCAAUUACCAGACUCAUAAAGCCCAGUAUUGUUUUUUUUGUCACUACCUCCCCGUGUCAGGAUUGGGUAAUUUGCACGCCUACUGCCUUCCAUGGAUGUGGUAGCUAAUUCUCAGGCUCCCUCUCCGGAAUCGAACCCUAAUUCUCCGUCACCCUUCACCUCCAUAGUAGGCCACUAUCCUACCAUGGAAAGUUGAUAGGGCAUAAAUUUGAAUGAUGCGUCACCGACACGAUGGCCGUGCGAUCCGUUGAGUUAUCAUGAAUCAUCGCAGAACCAGGCAGAGCCCGCGUCGACCUUUUAUAUAAUAAAUGCAUCCCUUCCAGAAGUCAAGGUUUGUUGCAUGUAUUAUCUCUGUAAUUACUAUGAUUAUCCGAGUAGUAGAUACCAUAAAAAAAACUAUAACUGAUUUAAUGAGCCAUUCGCAGUUUCUAGCCUAAAUUUGUUCAUACUUACACAUGCAUGGCUUAAUUUUUAAGACAAGCAUAUGACUACUGGAAGGAUCAACCAGGUAGCAUUCAUCAUUGAUGCCAGCGUCGAAUGAGCGUGGCCGACCCAAAAGGGCACAGCCAAGUCCAAGGCGAGCACGACCGUCAUUCGUAAGGAGAAUUCUUUGGGCAGAUAGAAGCCAAUGAAGGCCCCGUGCCCAUUGCGUUUACCGAAUAUGAGAGCCCGAGCAUGCUAAGUUAUGGACCAAGCCAUCGUAAGGCGAAGCCAGGACGACCUGGGAUACAACUGCAGCUUUUGGUUCACCCCGCACGUCGAAGUUUACCAAAUAUGAGAGCCCGAGAACACUAUGUCAUGGACCAAGCCAUCACAUUGCGAAGUCAGGACGACCUGGGACACAAGUGCAGCUUUUGGUUCACCUCGCACGUCGAACGCGAGGGGGGAAAGGCGACCGAUUGUGCUUGAUAAUGCCUUGGCAUUUGGUAUGCAACACAGAAAACCGACUCUGAACAAGCCUAAUUUGCGCUUGUGACAUGACUAAGAUGGCAUGCAAGCUAGGACGUCGCUGCUCGAGCAGGGAUCCAACCUAGCCACACAAGCCGAACACCACUCAUGUGCCGCACGUACACUUGCCUUGCCGAUACAAAGCCAACACCAUCCCCAACACGUGAUGCGCAGCCAUGUGUUGUUGCCGAUGCCAACAUUGUAUAGCCAAGACAAGCCCCGCAAAGCACGCGAUACAAAGCCAUCACCAGCCCCAACACGUGACGCGCAACCAUGUGUUGUUGUCGAUGCCAACAUUGCAAAGCCAAGACAAGCCCCGCAAAGCACAAAUAUGGGGUUUGAACAAUUCAAGACACAACUCAGAACAACCGAUGUCAAAUAGGAAAUUUAAUGAGCCUUCGCCCCAUGCGCCUGGCACCUUGCGGCGAUACUUGCAUAAUGCUUUUUCGUUCCAUUGCGAAAAGCCAUCACCCUCCAUGAGUGAUUUUGCCUUCCGAUGUUUCCCACAACAACCGACGGCAAUCAUCAACUUACAAAGCUUCGCCACGUGCGCACGACACCUUGAGGCGCUACUUGCAUGAUACUUUUCCAUUAUCUUCCAAAAGCCAUCAGCUGCCAUGAGCGAUGUCGCCUCCCGAUGUUUCCCGCAAUAACCGAUGGAAAUCGGUAACUUACUAAGCUUCACCUUGCUGCACGACACCUUGCGGCGCUAAUUGCACAAUGCUUUGCCAUUUUGUUGCCAAAAGCCAUCAACUGCAACAAGAGAUGUAGCCUCCUGAUGUUUCCCGCAACAACCGAUGGCAAUGAAUAUCUACUGAGGGGGGUUCACAGACACAACCCACAGCAAUCGAUGUAGCCUCCGCCGUUCGUUGUCAAAAGCCAUAAGCCACCACGGAGGGGGGUUUACAGACACAACCCACAAUAAUCGAUGGCAAUAGGGAACUAACUAAGCUUCGCCCCAUGCGCAGGGCACCUUGCGGCGCUACUUGCACGACGCUCCGCCAUUCCUUGGCUGAAAGCCAUCACCCCUGCCAACGAUGACCAGCAUCUUUGCGCUUGACAUGUUUCAAAGCAUUGGUUAGCAAUAGACGUGGUGCAAUGCGGUGCGUCUUGGAGCGACGUGGAGCGGCCUUGUGCAACGUCGUGCCAUCGGCAUUUCCUGACGCGUACUAACACGUACCAUGGCUAUAUCCUACCAUGCCCUACGACGUCCUGACUCGUGCCCCGGCCACGCCCUGCCAUGUCCGGCGACGUCCUGACUCAUGCAAUGGCCACGCCUUGCCAUGUCCUGACGCGUCGUGACUCGUGCCAUGGCCACGCCCUGCCAUGUCCUGACGCGUCCUGACACGUGCCAUGUCCUGANNNNNNNNNNNNNNNNNNNNNNNNNNNNNNNNNNNNNNNNNNNNNNNNNNNNNNNNNNNNNNNNNNNNNNNNNNNNNNNNNNNNNNNNNNNNNNNNNNNNNNNNNNNNNNNNNNNNNNNNNNNNNNNNNNNNNNNNNNNNNNNNNNNNNNNNNNNNNNNNNNNNNNNNNNNNNNNNNNNNNNNNNNNNNNNNNNNNNNNNNNNNNNNNNNNNNNNNNNNNNNNNNNNNNNNNNNNNNNNNNNNNNNNNNNNNNNNNNNNNNNNNNNNNNNNNNNNNNNNNNNNNNNNNNNNNNNNNNNNNNNNNNNNNNNNNNNNNNNNNNNNNNNNNNNNNNNNNNNNNNNNNNNNNNNNNNNNNNNNNNNNNNNNNNNNNNNNNNNNNNNNNNNNNNNNNNNNNNNNNNAUGCGUCCUCACACGUACCAUGGCCAUAUCCUGCCAUGUCCUACGACGUCCUGACUCGUGCCAUGGCCAUGCCCUGCCAUGUCCUACGACGUCCUUACUUGUGCCACGGCCACGCCCUGCCAUGUCGUGACGCGUCCUGACACGUGCCAUGUCGUGACGCUUCUUGAUGCAUCCCGGCUUGUGCCAUGGUCACGCCCUGACAUGUCCUGCGACCUCCCGACUUGUGUCAAUGCAACGCCCUGCCAUGUCCUGACGCGUCAUGAUACGUGCCAUGGCCAUGUCCUGAUGCAUCUUGACACGUGCCAUGGCCAAGUCCUAAUCCGUCCUGACACGUGCCAUGGCCAUGUCCUGACGCAUCCUGAUGCAUCUCGACUCGUGCCAUGGCCACGCCCUGCCAUGUCUUAUGAUGUCCCGACUCGUGUCUUGACAUGUGCCAUGGCCAUCUCCUGACGCGUCCUGACAUGUGCCAUGGCCAUGCCCUGAUGCAUCCUGACACGUGCCAUGGCCAUGUCCUGAUGCGUCCUGACAUGUGCCAUGGCCAUGUCCUGACGCGUCCUGUGACGUCCUGACUUGUGCCAUGGCCACGCACUUCCAUGUUUUGCGACGUCCCGACUCGUUCCAUGUCCACGCCUUGCCAUGUCCUGACGCGUCCUGACGUGUCCCGACAUGUGCCAUGGCCAUGUCCUGAUGCGUCCCGAGUCGUGCCAUGUCCUGACUUGUCAUGCGAAGUCCUGAAUCAUUCCAUGGUCACGCCAUGCAUGUCCAAACGCGUCUUGACGCAUCCUACCAUGUUCCAUGGCCAUGUCCUGACGCGUCCUGACACGUGCUAUGGACAUGUCCUAACGCGUCUGCGACGUGCUCGCUCGGGCCAUGGCCACGCCCUGCCAUGUCCUGCGACGUCCUGACUCUUGCCAUGGCCAUGUCCCGAUGCAUCUCGCGACGUCCUGAAUCGUUCCAUGGCCACGCUCUGCCAUGUCCUGCGACGUUCCGACUCUUGCCAUGGCCACGCCCUCCCAUGUCCUGACGCGUCCUGACACGUGCCAUGGCCAUGUCCUGACACGUACCAUGGCCAUGUCNUCAUCCUGCGACGUCCUAACUCGUGCCAUAGCCACGCCCUGCCAUGUCAUGCGAUGUCUUGACACAACCCGACGCAUGUCCUGCCAUGUCCUGCGACGUAUUGACACGUCCUGGCCCAUGCCAUGGCCACGCCUUGCCAUUUCAUGGGACGUCCUAACUCAUGCCAUGGACACGCCUUGCGCUCGUUGCAUAGGGCUUGGUCUCUCAAGAGACACCCCGUAAAACCAUGGCAUAGGCCUCGACCUCUCAAGCGACACCUCAAAAAGCCUCUAGUAGUGUAACGUGGAUUGGUAUUUCCCUCGACGUGACUAAGUGUCAAGUCUCAUUGUCCACUUAAUGCACAAAUAGUAUACGUUGCAAUGUCUUGAAGACGUGUUCGAUUUUUCCAACAAAUAGUAUAAUAUAGCAUCAAGGUAGGAGUGAACCUCUUAUCGGAAAAGGUAGAAAAUGGUUGGAUCUGAGGGGGAGGGACGAAUCAGAGUGAUAAAGGGCUGAAUCUAAGUGGAUCGUGGCAGCAAGGCCACUCUGCCACUUACAAUACCCUGUCGUGUAUUUAAGUCGUCUGCAAAGGAUUCUACCCACCGCUCGAUGGAAAUUGUACUUCAAGGCGCCCUCCACGGCUCUUCCGCCGCGAUGACUUAGCCAACGACACGUGCCCUUGGGGGCUAAAGGCCACUACUGUAGAUCGUUAAGCGGACGGCGGGCGUAUGCGUCACUUCUACCCCGGCGUGGCUCUUAUGCCGUGAUGACUUAGCAACCAACACAUGCCCUUGGGGGCCAAAGGCCCCUUCUGCGGGUCGGCAAACAAACGGCGGGCGCAUGCGUCGCAUUUAGCACGGAUUCUGACUUAGAGGCGUUCAGUCAUAAUCCAGCGCCUGGAUUAUGUUAAACAUAAAAGAUAACUCUUCGUGAAGCCCCCGCCGAAGUCUCCAGACUUCCUAACGUUGCCGUCAACCACCACAUCACGAUUCAGAAAUUUUAACCCGAUUUUAUUUCGGAGUACGCGCGAAAUGCGCUAUCUAUCGGGGUUACCCGACCCAUAGGAUCGACUAACCCAUGUGCAAGUGCCAUUCACAUGGAACCUUUCCCAUCUUCGGCAUUCAAAGUUCUCAGUUGAAUAUUUGCUACUUCCACCAAGAUCUGCAUCGACGGCCGAUUCGCCCAGGCUCACGCGCAAGGUUUUCCAGCGACCGUCGUGCCCUCCUAAUCAUCGGGGCUUACCACUUGCCCCGACGGCCGGGUGUAGGUCGCGCGCUUAAGACCCAUCCAUUUUGGGGGCUAGUUGAUUUGGCAGGUGAGUUGUUGCACACUCCUUUGAAGAUUUCGACUUCCAUGACCACCGUCAUACUGUCUUAAUCGACCAACACCAUUUGCGGGAUCUAUGUUAGCAUGCAGUUUGGCACCGUAACCCGGCUUCAGGUUCAUCCCGCAUCGCCAGUUCAGCUUAUAAAAAAUGGCCCACUUGGAGCUCUUGAUUCCGUGGCGCGGCUCAACAAAGCUGCCGCGCCGUCCUACCUAUUUAAUGUUUGAGAAUAGGUCGAGGGCGUUGCACCCCCGAUGCCUCUAAUCAUUGGCUUUACCCGAUAGAACUCGCACGCGAGCUCCAGCUAUCCUGAGGGAAACUUCGGAGGGAACCAGCCGUGGCGCGGCUCAACAAAGCUGCCGCGCCGUCCUACCUAUUUAAUGUUUGAGAAUAGGUCGAGGGCGUUGCACCCCCGAUGCCUCUAAUCAUUGGCUUUACCCGAUAGAACUCGCACGCGAGCUCCAACUAAUCUGAGGGAAACUUUCGAGGGAACCAGCUAAUAGACGGUUCGAUUAGUCUUUCGCCCCUAUGCCCAAGCCAGAUGAAGGAUUUGCACAUCAGUAUUGCUACGGGCCUCCACCAGAGUUUCGUCUGGCUUCGCCCUGCUCAGGCAUAGUUCACCAUCUUUUGGGUCCCGACAGGUAUGCUCACACUCGAACCCUUCACAAAAGAUCAAGGUCGGUCGGCGGUGCAUCCCUCAGAGGGAUCCCAUAAUUCAGCUUCCUUACACCUUACGGGUUUACUAGCCCAUUGACUCGCACACAUGUCGGACCCCUUGGUCCGUGUUUCCAGAUAGGUCAAAUGGGUAGCCCACAGGCCAGCGUCUGGAGCGCGCAGAUGCCGAAGCACGCCAGAGGAGCGCGCUACCUACCACAAUCAAGGAGACGAAGUUCCCCGAAUGUAUCAAAAGCCCGGGCUUUGGCCGCCCCCAAAUCAACACUGGUCCACGCCUCGAGUUUAUCGGCGGACCAGCUUAACACUGUUCCACAUCAGACCGGGGCGCAUCGUCGGUCACUAUCCGCUUCCCUGACGACAAUUUCAAGCACUCUUUGACUCUCUUUUGAAAGUCUUUUUAAUUUUUCCUCGCGGUACUUGUUCGCUAUCGGUCUCUCGCCCGUAGUUAGCCUUGGACAGAAUUCACCGCCCCAUUUGGUGCGACUGGGUCGGGGCACAACGAGACUCUCACCCUCUCUGGCACCACCUUACAAGGGACUUGGCCAGGUCCGCCGUUGAGGACGCUUCCCCAGACUAUAAUUUUGACGAAGGAGCCACCCGAUUCUAAGGCUGGGCUGUUCCCGGUUUGCUCGCCGUUACUAGGGGAAUCCUUUUAAGUUUCUUUUCCUCCACAUAUUGAUAUGCUUAAAGUCAUCUGGUAGUCCCGCCUGACUAGGGGUCGCGGUCAAAGCGUCUACAUGCGAUAAGGGUCGGGGAGCCCAAACAUGUGACGGGUUGGAGCCGCGACAUUACGAGAGUUGAGUUUCAACCAUCACUUGUCGUGACGUCCAUCGUUGUGGACUCGCAUUUAAGCUAACCGCACACUCGAGGAGCACAGGAGGCCAGUAUCCGUCCCAAGACAACACCACGACCAUGAGAAUGGGAGCGGUGUGCGGGGGCGUCGUGAUGCGUGAUGCCCAGGCAGAUGUGCCCUCGGCCUAAUGGCUUCGGGCGCAACUUGCGUUCAACGACUCCAUAGUUCACAAGAUUCUGCAAUUCACACAAAGUAUCACAUUUUGCUACGUUCUUCAUCGAUGCGAGAGCCGAGAUAUCUGUUGCUGAGAGUCGUUUGUAUUUCAAAGGAAGCAUAAGUCCCCUGCGCACGCCGCAAACGGGGCGCGAAGGGCAGGUUUUCAAUUUUGUAUUCCUUGGCGCUUUCCGCGGUGGGGUUCGUUAAUCACCCGGCAAGAACGCGAGCAUGCGCAUCGGGGAUAUAGGAGGAAGCCGCACGGACAGAGGCCGAAGCAUCCCGGCCGCACCGCUCCCCAGUUUUUAAACAUGUUCGCGAGUCGUUCUGCCUUGCAGGUUUCGACAAUGAUCCUUUCGCAGGUUCACCUACGCAAACCUUGUUACGAGUUAUCCUUCCUCUAAAUUAUAAGGUUCAAUGGAUUUUUCGCAACGUCGUGGGAAGCAGACUGCCCACGUCGCCGUGAUCUGUACAUUUCACCGGAUCAUUCAAUCGGUAGGAGCGACGGGCGGUGUGUACAAAGGGUAGGGACGUAGUCAACGGGAGCUGAUUACUCGCGCUUACUACGAAUUCCUCGUUGAAGACCAACAAUUUCAGUGAUCUAUCCCCAUCACGAUAAACUUUCAAAUUUUACCCGGGCCUGUCGGCCAAGGCUAUAAUCUCGUUGAAUACAUCAGUGUAGCGCGCAUGCGGCCCAGUACAUCUAAGGGCAUCACAGACACUGUUAUUGCCUCAAACAUCCGCAGCCUAAAAGGCCGUAGUCCCUCUAAGAAGCUGGCUGCGAUGGGAUACCUAUGCAUAGGUAGUUAGCAGGCUGAGGUCUCGUUUGUUAACCAAAUUAACCAGACAAAUCGCUCCACCAACUAAGAAUGGCCAUGCACCACCACCCAUAGAAUCAAGAAAGAGCUCUUAGUUUGUCAAUCCUUACUAUGUCUGGAACUGGUAAGUUUCCCCAUGUUGAGUCAAAUUAAGCUGCAGGCUCCACUCCUGGUGGUGCCUUUCAAUCAAUUCCUUUAAGUUUGAGCCUUGCGUCCAUACUCCCCCCGCAACCCAAAAACUUUGAUUUUGAUAAGGUGCCAGUGGAGUCAUAAAAGCAACAUCCGUCGAUCCCUGGUCGGCAUCGUUUAUGGUUGAGACUAGGAAGGUAUCGUCUUCGAGCCCCCAACUAUCGUUCUUCAUUAAUGAAAACAUCCUUGACAAAUGAUUUCGCAGUUGUUCAUCCUUCAUAAAUCCAAGAAUUUCAACUCUGACAAAGAAAUAUGAAUGUCCCCGACUGUUCAUGUUAAUCAUUACUCUGAUUCCGAAGGCCAACGUAAUAGGACCGAAAUCUUAUAAUGUUAUCCCAUGCUAAUGUAUAUAGAGCGUAGGCUUGCUUUGAGCACUCUAAUUUCUUCAAAGUAACAGUGCCGGAGGCACGACCCGGCCAAUUAAGGCCAAGAGAGCAUCGCCGGCAGAAGGGACAAGAAGACCGGCGCACACCAACAAAGUAACAACACCGGAGGCAUGACCCGGCCAAUUAAGUCCAGGAGCGCAUCGCCGGCAGAAGGGACGAGACGACUGGUGCACACAAAAACCGGACCGGCCGGCCCAUGCCAAAGUCGAACUACGAGCUUUUUUACUAAAACAACUUAAAUAUACGCUAUUGGAGCUGGAAUUAUCGCGGAUGCUGGCACCAAACUUGCCCUCCGAUUGAUCCUCGGUAAGUGAUUUAGAUUGUACUCAUUCCAAUUACAAGACCUAUAAAGCCCGGUAUUGUUGUUUAUUGUCACUUCCUCCCCGUGUCAGGAUUGGGUAAUUUGCGCGCCUGUUGCCUUCCUUGGAUGUGGUAGCCGUUUCUCAGGCUCCCUCUCCGGAAUCGAACCCUAAUUCUCCGUCACCCGUCACCACCAUGGUAGGUGUCCCUGUUGCCUUCCUUGGAUGUGGUAGCCGUUUCUCAGGCUCCCUCUCCGGAAUAGAACCCUAGUUCUUCGUCACCUAACACCACCAUGGCACGCCACUAUCCUACCAUCGAAAGUUGAUAGGGAAUAAAUUUGAAUGAUACGUCGCCGGCACGAUGGCCAUGCGAUCCGUCUAGUUAUCAUGAAUCAUCGCAGCAAUAGGCAGAUACCGCGUCGACCUCUUGUCAAAUAAAUGCACCCCUUCUAGAAUUCGCGGUUUGCUACACGUAUUAGAUCUACAAUUACUACGGUUAUCCAAGUAGUAGAUACCAACAAACAAACUAUAACUGAUUUAAUGAGCCAUUCGCAGUUUCACAGUAUGAAUUUGUUCAUACUUACACAUGCAUGGCUUAAUCUUUGAGACAAGCAUAUGACUACUGGCAGGAUCAACCAGGUAGCAUUCCUCAUUGACGCGCAGUUUCACAGUAUGAAUUUGUUCAUACUUACACAUGCAUGGCUUAAUCUUUGAGACAAUCAUAUGACUACUGGCAGGAUCAACCAGGUGGUAUUCCUCAUUAACGCCGGCGUCGCAUGAGCGUGGCCGACCCAAAAGGGCAGGACCAAGUCCAAGGCGAGCACGACCGUCAUUCGUAAGGAGCAUUCGUUCGGUAGAUAGAAUCCAAUAAAUGGCCCGUGCCCAUUGCGUUUACCAAAUUCGAGAGCCCGAGCAUGCUAAGUUGUGGACCAAGCCAUCACAAGGCGAAUCUAGGACGACCUGGGACACAACUGUUGCUUUUGAAUCACCCCGUACGUCGAACGCGAGGGGCGAAAGGCGACCGAUUGUGCUUGAUAAUGCCUUGGAAUUUGGUAUGCAACACAGAAAAUCGACGUCAAACAAGCCUAAUCUUUGCUUGUGACAUGACUGAGAUGGCAUGCGAGCUAGGACAUCCCUGCCAUGUCCUGCUACCUCCCGACUCGUGUCAUUGCAAUGCCUUGCCAUGUCCUGAAGCGUCCUGACACGUGCCAUGGCCAUGUCCUGAUGCGUCCUGACACGUGACAUAGCCAUGUCCUGCAACGUCCUGACUCGUGCCAUGACCACGCCCGGCCAUGUCCUGACGCGUCCUGACACAUGCCAUGUCCUGACGCAUCCUGAUGCGUCCCGACUCGUGCCAUAGCCACGCCCUGCCAUGUCCUGCGACCUCCUGACUCGUGUCAUGGCAACGCCCUGCCAUGUCUUACGGCCAUGUCCUGGCGCGUCCUGAUGCGUCUCGACUCGUGCCAUGGCCACGACAUGCCAUGUCCUGCGACGACCCGACACAUGUCUUGACACGUGCCAUGGCCAUGUUCUGACGUGUCCUAACAUGUGCCAUGGCCAUGUCCUGAUGCGUCCUGACACGUGCCAUGGCCUUGUCCUGACAUGUCAUGCGACCUCCCGAUUCGUGUCAUGGCAAUGCCCUGCCAUGUCCUGAUGCCUCUUGACACGUGCCAUGGCCAUGUACUGAUGCGUUCGGACACGUGCCAUGGCCAUGUCUUGAUGCAUCCUUACACGUGCCACGGCCACGCCCUGCGACCUCCCAACUCGUUAUCUUUUAACAGAUAUGCCACCCCAGCCAAACUCCCCACCUGACCAUUUCUUCCACCCGAAUCGGCCUGCAAGCAAGCCUUGGGUCCAAAAGGAGGGGCAGUGCCCCGCUUUCGAUUCACGGAAUAAGUAAGAUAACGUUAAAAGUAGUAGUAUUUCACAUUCUCCUUUCAGCUCCCACUUAUACUACACCUCUCAAGUCAUUUCACAAAGACGGACUAGAGUCAAGCUCAACAAGGUCUUCUUUCCCUGCUGAUUCUGCCAUGCCCGUUCCCUUGGCUGUGGUUUCACUCUAUAGUAGACAGGGACAGUGGGAAUCUCAUUAAUCCAUUCAUGCGCGUCACUAAUUAGAUGACGAAGCAUUUGGAUACCUUAAGAGAGUCAUAGUUACUCACGCCGUUCACCCACAAUUGGUUGAAUUUCUUCACUUUCACAUUUAAAGCACUGGGCAGAAAUCACAUUGCGUAAACAUCCGCAGGGACCAUCGCAAUGCUUUAUUUUAAUAAAAUAAUGAGAUUCCCCUUGUUCGUACCAGAUUUGUGUUUGUUGUUUGAUGCCCUGGGAAGGCCCCUGAAGGAACUGUUCCCAGUCCGUUUCCCGAUCACCACGCGGCGACACGCUCUCACCAUGGGAGCAGCUCGAGCAGUCCACCACCAGCCGACGGGUUCGGGAAUGGGACCCGGCCUAGCCCUCAAAGCCAAUCAUUUUCCCGAAAUUACGGAUCCAUUUUGCCGACUUCCCUUGCCUACAUUGUUCCAUCGACUAGAGGCUGUUCACCUUGGAGAGCUGAUGCGGUUAUGAGUACGAGCGAGCAUGGACGGCACUCGGUCCUCCGGAUUUUCAAGGGCCGCCGGGGGCACAUCGGACACCACGCGACGUGCAGUGCUCUUCCAACCGCUGGACCCUACAUCCGACUGAGUCAUUUCCAGGGUGGGCAGGCUGGUAAAUAGAAAAGAUAACUCUUCCCAAGGCCCCCGACGAUGUCUCUGGACUUCCUAAUGUAGCCGUCAAUUGCAGCAUCCCGGUUCAGGAAUUAAAACAUGAUUCCCAUAUGGAGUACGCGCGAAAUGCGCUAUCUGUUAGGGUUCCCCCGACCCUUAGGAUCGACUAACCCAUGUGCAAGUGUCGUUCACAUGGAACCUUUCUCCUCUCCAGCCUUCAAAGUUCUUAUUUGAAUAUUUGCUAUUAUCACCAAGAUCUGUACCAAGGGCCACUCCACCAAGGAUCACGCCCAAGGUUUUGUAGCGACCGCCGCACCCUCCUGCUCAUCGAGGCCUGGCACUUGCCCCGAUGGCCUGGUGUAGGUCGCACACUUAAGCGCCAUCCAUUUUUGGGGCUAGCUGAUUCGGCAGGUGAAUUUUUACACACUCCUUAGCGGAUUUCGACUUCCAUGACCACCAUCCCAUUUUCUUAAUCGACCAACACCCUUUGUGGGAUCUAGGUUAGAUCACAGUUUGGCACCGUAACCUGGCUUCCGGUUCAUCCCGCAUUGCCAGUUCUGCUUACCAAAAAUGGCCCACUUGGAGAUCUUGAUUCAGUGGCACGGGUCAACAAAGCAGCCGCGCCAUCCUACCUAUUUAAAGUUUGAGAAUAGGUCGAGGGCGUUGCGCCCCCGAUGCCUCUAAUCAUUGGCUUUACCCGAUAGAACUCGCACGCGAGCUCCAAGUUCUGCUUACCAAAAAUGGCCCACUUGGAGAUCUUGAUUCAGUGGCACGGGUCAACAAAGCAGCCGCGCCAUCCUACCUAUUUAAAGUUUGAGAAUAGGUCGAGGGCGUUGCGCCCUCGAUGUAUUUAAUCAUUGGCUUUAUGCAAUAGAACUUGCACGCGAGCUCUAUGUAUCCUGAGGGAAACUUCGGAGAGAACCUGCUACUAGACGGUUCGAUUAGUCUUUCGCCCCUAUGCCCAAGUGAGACGAACGAUUUGCGCAUGAGUAUCUCUGCGAGCCUCCACCAGAGUUUCCUCUGGCUUCGCCCUGCUCAGGCAUAGUUCACCAUCUUUCGGGUCCCGACAGGUAUGCUCACACUCGAACCCUUCACAGAAGAUCAAGGUCGUUUCGCCCCUAUGCCCAAGUCAGACGAACGAUUUGCACGUCAGUAUCGCUGCGAGCCUCCACCAGAGUUUCCUCUGGCUUCGCCCUGCUCAGGCAUAGUUCACCAUCUUUCGGGUCCCGACAGGUAUGCUCACACUCGAACGCUUCACAGAAGAUCAAGGUCAGUCGGCGGUGCACCCCUCAAGGGGAUCCAACCAAUCAGCUUCCUUACACCUUACUGGUUUACUUGCCCAUUGACUCGCACACAUGUCAGACUCCUUCAUCCGUGUUUCAAGAUAGGUCAAAUGGGGAGCCCACAGAUGCCAAAGCACGCCAGAUGCGCGUGAUGCCUACCACAAUAAAGGAGACAAUUUCCACGAGCGUAUAAAAAGCCCAGGCUUUGGCCGCCCCCCAACCCAUGCCGGUCCACGCCCCGAGUCAAUCGGCGAACCGACUCAACACCGUUACACAUCCGACCAGGGUGCAUCGCUGGCCCUCAUCUGCUUCCCUCAUGAAAAUUUCAAGCAUCUUUGACUCUCUUUUCAAUGUCCUUUUCAUCUUUCCCUCGCGGUACUUGUUCGUUAUCGGUCUCUCGCCCGUAUAUAGCCUUGGAAGGAAUUCACCGCACGAUUUAGGCCACAUUCCCAAACAACCCAACUCGUAGGUAGCGGCUCAUGGUGAAACAGGGUCCGGGCACAACGGGGCUCUAACCCUCUCUGGCACCCCCUUCCAGGGGACUUGGGCCCGGUCUGUCGCUGAGGAUUCUUCUCUAGACUACGAUUCGGACCAUGGAGCCACCCGAUUCUAAGGCUGGGCUAUUCCCGGUUCGCUCGCCGUUACUAGGGGAAUACUUUUAAGUUUCUUUUCCUCCGCUUAUUGAUAUGCUUAAACUCAGCAGGAAGUCCUGCCUAAGCUGGGGUUGUCGUCGGAGCGCCUAAGCGCGAUUAGGGUCGGGGAGCCCAAACAUGCAACGGGUUGGAGCCGCGACAUUACGGGUUGGAGGCCAGUAUCUGUCCCAUGACAGCACCGCGACAAUGAGAAUGGGCUUAGUGUGCGGGGGCGACGCGAUGCGUGACGCCCAGGCAGACGUGCCCUCGGUCUAAUGGUUUCGGGUGAAAUUUACGUUCAAAGACUCGAUGGUUCAUGCGAUUCUGCAAUUCACACCAAGUAUUGCAUUUCGUUACGUUCUUCAUCGAUGCGAGAGUCGAGAUAUCCGUUGCCAAGUGUCAUUUAUGUUUUAAAGGAAGCAAAAGUCCCCCGCGCACGCUGGGAAUGGGGCGCGAGGGGCGGGCUUUCAAUUUAGUAUUCCUUGGCGAUUUCCACGCUGGGGUUUGAUAAUCACCCGGCACGCACACGAGCGCGUGCGUCGGGGAUGUAGGAGGAAGCCGCACGGACAGAGGCCGAAGCAUCCCGGUCGCACCGCUCCCCAAUUUUGAAACAAGUUCGCAUGUCUUUCUGCCUUGCAGGUUUCGACAAUGAUACUUCCGCAGGUUCUCAUACGGAAACCUUGUUACGACUUCUCCUUCCUCUAAAUGAUAAGGUUCAAUGGAUUUCUCGCGACUUCGCGGGCAGCGGAACGCCCGCGUCGUUGCGAUCCGAACAUUUAAUAGGAUCAUUCAAUCAAUAGGAGCGACGGGCGGUUUUUACAAAGGGCGGGGACGUAGUCAACGCAAGCUGAUGACUCGCGCUUACUAGGAAUUCCUCGUUAAAGACAAACAAUUGCAAUGAUAUAUCCCCAUCACGAUGAAAUUUCAAUGAUUACCCGGGCCUGUCGGCCAAGAAUAUAAACUCGUUGAAUACAUCAUUGUAGCGCGCGUGCGGCCCAGAACAUCUAAGGGCAUCACAGACCUGUUAUUACCUCAAAACUUCCGCGGCCUA
rnacentral:lncRNA from 1 species